GGUGAAAAGCCCGCUCGCCGGAAGACCAAGGGUUCCUGUCCAACGUUAAUCGGGGCAGGGUGAGUCGACCCCUAAGGCGAGGCCGAAAGGCGUAGUCGAUGGGAAACAGGUUAAUAUUCCUGUACUUGGUGUUACUGCGAAGGGGGGACGGAGAAGGCUAUGUUGGCCGGGCGACGGUUGUCCCGGUUUAAGCGUGUAGGCUGAUUUUCCAGGUAAAUCCGGAAAAUCAAGGCUGAGGCGUGAUGACGAGGCACUACGGUGCUGAAGCAACAAAUGCCCUGCUUCCAGGAAAAGCCUCUAAGCAUCAGGUAACAUCAAAUCGUACCCCAAACCGACACAGGUGGUCAGGUAGAGAAUACCAAGGCGCUUGAGAGAACUCGGGUGAAGGAACUAGGCAAAAUGGUGCCGUAACUUCGGGAGAAGGCACGCUGAUACGUAGGUGAAGCGACUUGCUCGUGGAGCUGAAAUCAGUCGAAGAUACCAGCUGGCUGCAACUGUUUAUUAAAAACACAGCACUGUGCAAACACGAAAGUGGACGUAUACGGUGUGACGCCUGCCCGGUGCCGGAAGGUUAAUUGAUGGGGUUAGCGGUAACGCGAAGCUCUUGAUCGAAGCCCCGGUAAACGGCGGCCGUAACUAUAACGGUCCUAAGGUAGCGAAAUUCCUUGUCGGGUAAGUUCCGACCUGCACGAAUGGCGUAAUGAUGGCCAGGCUGUCUCCACCCGAGACUCAGUGAAAUUGAACUCGCUGUGAAGAUGCAGUGUACCCGCGGCAAGACGGAAAGACCCCGUGAACCUUUACUAUAGCUUGACACUGAACAUUGAGCCUUGAUGUGUAGGAUAGGUGGGAGGCUUUGAAGUGUGGACGCCAGUCUGCAUGGAGCCGACCUUGAAAUACCACCCUUUAAUGUUUGAUGUUCUAACGUUGGCCCCUAAUCGGGGUUGCGGACAGUGUCUGGUGGGUAGUUUGACUGGGGCGGUCUCCUCCUAAAGAGUAACGGAGGAGCACGAAGGUUGGCUAAUCCUGGUCGGACAUCAGGAGGUUAGUGCAAUGGCAUAAGCCAGCUUGACUGCGAGCGUGACGGCGCGAGCAGGUGCGAAAGCAGGUCAUAGUGAUCCGGUGGUUCUGAAUGGAAGGGCCAUCGCUCAACGGAUAAAAGGUACUCCGGGGAUAACAGGCUGAUACCGCCCAAGAGUUCAUAUCGACGGCGGUGUUUGGCACCUCGAUGUCGGCUCAUCACAUCCUGGGGCUGAAGUAGGUCCCAAGGGUAUGGCUGUUCGCCAUUUAAAGUGGUACGCGAGCUGGGUUUAGAACGUCGUGAGACAGUUCGGUCCCUAUCUGCCGUGGGCGCUGGAGAACUGAGGGGGGCUGCUCCUAGUACGAGAGGACCGGAGUGGACGCAUCACUGGUGUUCGGGUUGUCAUGCCAAUGGCACUGCCCGGUAGCUAAAUGCGGAAGAGAUAAGUGCUGAAAGCAUCUAAGCACGAAACUUGCCCCGAGAUGAGUUCUCCCUGACUCCCUGAGAGUCCUGAAGGAACGUUGAAGACGACGACGUUGAUAGGCCGGGUGUGUAAGCGCAGCGAUGCGUUGAGCUAACCGGUACUAAUGAACCGUGAGGCUUAACCUU
rnacentral:rRNA from 1 species